AUACGGAGGGUGCGAGCGUUAAUCGGAAUUACUGGGCGUAGAGCGUGCGUAGGCGGUUUGUUAAGUCAGAAGUGAAAGCCCUGGGCUCAACCUGGGAACGGCUUUUGAGACUGGCAGACUCGAGUUGAGUAGAGGGGAGUGGAAUUUCCGGUGUAGCGGUGAAAUGCGUAGAGAUCGGAAGGAACACCAGUGGCGAAGGCGACUCCCUGGACUCAAACUGACGCUGAGGUACGAAAGCGUGGGUAGCAAACAGGAUUAGAAACCCUAGUAGUCC
rnacentral:rRNA from 1 species